ACAUACGACCAUAGACGUCUGAGAACUCGGGAUCCCGUCCGCUCUCCCAUAGAUAAGCAGACGAUCGGAAGAUUUGUUUUGGGAGCCGUGUGUC
rnacentral:rRNA from 1 species